UACGUAGGGAGCAAGCGUUGUCCGGAAUCAUUGGGCGUAAAGCGCGCGUAGGCGGCCCCGUAAGUCCGCUGUGAAAGUCAAAGGCUCAACCUUUGAAAGCCGGUGGAUACUGUGGGGCUAGAGUACGGAAGAGGCGAGUGGAAUUCCUGGUGUAGCGGUGGAAUGCGCAGAUAUCAGGAGGAACACCAAUAGCGAAGGCAGCUCGCUGGGACGUUACUGACGCUGAGGCGCGAAAGCGUGGGUAGCAAACAGG
rnacentral:rRNA from 1 species